UUCGGUACCGGAAUCGCUGGUUAUCGAUUUAGAUAUAGCUACACGUUCGGAACCAUCUGCGGCGGCUUCCUUCGUGGAACCGCCCGCAGAACCAAAUGCCUGUGAAUUUAAUUUUCCCAUUUCAGAGCCUUCGGAGGGAGUUCCGGAACCACAAAAUUCUAACUCUUCCCUAAAUUCUAAAAAAUCUGUCCGUUUUACAGAUUUCGCCCAGGUUAAGGAGUUUUCAGGGUCGGAAUCUUUCGUUCCGACCCUGUACUCGGUUCUAGUAAAAGAUCCUCCGGAAACGGCGCCGGAACUGCCUCCGCUAAAUUCGAAAGAAACAAAAUAUUUUUGGUGUUACUCCUGCUGUCAAAAUUCCAGUACGAACACUUUGCCCUGGUUGCUGCGAUUGCGGUAUUCUAAAUUUGCGAUGUGGUUGCGCAGCUUUUUCUGCGGUUCGAUGUGUUGCGCUGUUAUUGGUUUGUUUGUUUUUGUUUAAUUGUUGAUGAUUUUCUCGUUUCAUGAGCGGUUUCUUGUUCCUGUUACAUAUUUUUCUGACGGAUGGAUUGGAGUUGCUAGUGUAGAAAAUGGAAUUGCAUUGAUAAAACUGAUGAUAUUGAAGAUGGCGAUUAUGACGAUGAUGAUGAUGAUAGACGAAGCUGAUGACGACGAUGAUUGAAUAUUUUUGAGUGGAGGAGAUAAUUAACAAUUUUACAGAUACUGACUGGAUACUAGGCACGGUUGCGGUGGAGUUCGAUGAUUGGAGGAGAAUCUUGAAGACAUCUUGAAGAACAUUACAUUAUUUUACAAAUGAAUUGUCAUUUAUUAAAUGAAUUGUACUUUAUUAGAAUUGUUUGUAAU